CUCAGCGUGGUGGUGCUCCGCC
rnacentral:siRNA from 1 species